rnacentral:lncRNA from 1 species
AAAAUAAGUACCCUAAACUAGUAUCACACAUUUUCCUGUUCUGGAGACUCUAAAAGUGCUAGAUUUGUGAUAUUUAUUCUCCUGUACUUCCUUCAUGAGGACUGCUCAUUCUCCAGCUACUCUUGUCCCACAGCAGUAAUCUAGAUGAGCCAUCUGCCCUUGCCCAAAGCCCUGGCAAAGAAGUGGGACAGACAUGUUUCCUCCUGCUUGCUGGUAUGCUGAAGAUAAAGGACAGGCUUGAUUUAUCCAGAAGGAUUAGUCUGGAGGUUUGUUAGACUGCUCAGGAGGACUGCACUUUGCUCUGAGUCACGGCUGGUCUAUUUGUCAGUAGCCAAAAGAAUGGCUGCUCUCAGACGUGCGCUGCCUGCCUCUGAAAGAAAAAACUAUGAAGCUGAGGGCCUCAAAGGACCAUUUAUGAUGAACGUUGCAAUUCUACCAGUUGUUCUUGGCUGCUACUACCCAUCAUUUCACGCAGAUCUGGUUACACAAGCACAGAAAAGUCAUCAAUGUAUUGGAAGAAGAGAAAGAGAGAAAGUGCUCCUAUUUAUGCAGAACUUCUGGAGAUGCAAUACAGGUGAUGCUCCAUUUCAUAACAGUUUUCCAUGGAUCCAAGCUAGCAGUACAGCUCUGUGCAGCCAAGCCCUUACUAAUGGCUGUUACCUGGAAGUUCAAAUAGCACAAGACCUAUCAAAUAAGUCCCUGGAAGAUUAACAAAAUGUAUCCCCCAUAUUAGCCAGCUCAGGCAACAUGCUGGAGAGUCUGACUGAGAAAUAAGUGUGAAAAAUGGUACGAGUUCUUCUACAGAUAUUUCAGAAAGCAUGUCUUUAGGUGACCCCUUAAGAAGUCCAUUCAGUGUAAAACUUAAAGUCUGAAGAGGGUUUUGUUUAGGCACUAUUCAAUUGUGCUCUCAUAUCUGGACAUAUGUGACAGUAUUAUUUCUUUUUUCUUCAGAAGCCUUCAUAACAGCAAGGCCCAUGCUUCAAUACACUCACGUGAAAUUUCUCGCAAUGUCAUAGUUAGUGACUCUCCUUCUGAUACCUUCUGACUAAUAUCUUCUGACUUAGUCUGCUGUAAAGCCUGCGAACUGGCUUCAUCGAGAUGCAAAAAAUGCUCAUCAUACAUUUAACCAACGGCAAAGUUUCAUGGGGUGAAAAUUGUGAGUUAGAGGUAAAGGAUCCUAUGGAACUCAAGAUCAAGACUUUUAUUCACAACUUGGUGGACAAAGAACAGCUUGGCCCUCUUGACCUACAAAGGGAAUGUGGAGAAACAGUCUGGAAAACAGCAGGUCUUUAUUGGUGGUGAACAGCAUAAGCUGAGGG